rnacentral:rRNA from 1 species
GACGAACGCUGGCGGCGUGCUUAACACAUGCAGGUCGAACGGAAAGGCCCUGCUUUUGUGGGGUGCUCGAGUGGCGAACGGGUGAGUAACACGUGAGGAACCUGCCCUUGACUUUGGGAUAACUUCAGGAAACUGGGGCUAAUACCGGAUAGGAGCUCCUGCUGCAUGGUGGGGGUUGGAAAGUUUCGGCGGUGGGGGAUGGACUCGCGGCUUAUCAGCUUGUUGGUGGGGUAGUGGCUUACCAGGGCUUUGACGGGUAGCCGGCCUGGGAGGGUGACCGGCCACCUUGGGACUGAGGUACGGCCCAGACUCCUACGGGAGGCAGCAGUGGGAAAUAUUGCACAAUGGGCGGAAGCCUGAUGCAGCAACGCCGCGUGCGUGAUGACGGCCUUCGGGUUGUAAACCGCUUUCGCCUGUGACGAAGCGUGAGUGACGGUAAUGGGUAAAGAAGCACCGGCUAACUACGUG